AGAGUUUGAUCCUGGCUCAGGACAAACGCUGGCGGCAUGCCUAACACAUGCAAGUCGAACGAACGGAGGCAAAGAACUCUUCGGAGGGAAAUGCCCGAGUUAGUGGCGGAUGGGUGAGUAACGCGUGGGGAACCUACCUCGUAGAGGGGAAUAAUAGUUGGAAACGACUACUAAUACCGCAUAAUGUACAAAGCUCGCAUGAGUCUUGUAAGAAAGAUGGCCUCUGAACAUGCUAUCGCUAUGAGAUGGACCCGCGUCUGAUUAGCUAGUUGGUAAGGUAACGGCUUACCAAGGCGGUGAUCAGUAGCCGGCCUGAGAGG
rnacentral:rRNA from 1 species